rnacentral:tRNA from 1 species
GGGGAUGUAGUUAAUUAAACUUUUAAUUUGCAAUUAAAAAAUACUUCCUGAGUCUUCCUCA